rnacentral:rRNA from 1 species
UACGGGGGGGGCAAGCGUUGUUCGGAAUUACUGGGCGUAAAGGGCUCGUAGGCGGCCAACUAAGUCAUACGUGAAAUCCCUCGGCUUAACCGGGGAACUGCGUCUGAUACUGGAUGGCUUGAGUUCGGGAGAGGGAUGCGGAAUUCCAGGUGUAGCGGUGAAAUGCGUAGAGAUGUGGAGGAACACCAGUGGCGAAGGCGACUCUUUGGCCUGUAACUGACACUGAGGCGCGAAAGCGUGGGGAGCAAACAGG